GGGAGAAUAGGAAGUUUAACUCCCCAACCCCUGUGAACAUACCUUAUGUUGCCUCGGCGGAUCAGCCCGCGCCCCGUAAAAAGGGACGGCCCGCCGCAGGAACCCUAAACUCUGUUUUUAGUGGAACUUCUGAGUAUAAAAAACAAAUAAAUCAAAACUUUCAACAACGGAUCUCUUGGUUCUGGCAUCGAUGAAGAACGCAGCAAAAUGCGAUAAGUAAUGUGAAUUGCAGAAUUCAGUGAAUCAUCGAAUCUUUGAACGCACAUUGCGCCCGCCAGUAUUCUGGCGGGCAUGCCUGUUCGAGCGUCAUUUCAACCCUCAAGCCCAGCUUGGUGUUGGGAGCUGCAGUCCUGCUGCACUCCCCAAAUACAUUGGCGGUCACGUCGAGCUUCCAUAGCGUAGUAAUUUACACAUCGUUACUGGUAAUCGUCGCGGCCACGCCGUUAAACCCCAACUUCUGAAUGUUGACCUCGGAUCAGGUAGGAAUACCCGCUGAACUUAAGCAUAUCAAGAGCCCGGGAGGAAA
rnacentral:rRNA from 1 species